rnacentral:rRNA from 1 species
AACGUAGGAGGCUAGCGUUAUCCGGAUUUACUGGGCGUAAAGCGCGCGUAGGCGGCUUCGUAAGUCGGGCGUGAAAUCUCCUGGCUCAACUGGGAGGGGUCGUCCGAAACUGCGGGGCUUGAGGGCAGGAGAGGGAGGUGGAAUUCCCGGUGUAGUGGUAAAAUGCGUAGAUAUCGGGAGGAACACCAGUGGCGAAAGCGGCCUCCUGGCCUGCCCCUGACGCUGAGGCGCGAAAGCGUGGGGAGCGAAC